AUUGAACGCUGGCGGCAGGACUAACAAAUGCAAGUCGAGCGGAGCGGCGGACGGGUGAGUCAUGCCUAGGAAUCUGCCUGGUAGUGGGGGAAAAAGUCCGGAAACGGGCGCUAAUACCGCAUACUAACAGAUGCGACUAGGUGGGAUUAGCUAGUUGGGGUGGGAAAGGCAUACCAAGGCGACGAGCCGUAACUGGUCUGAGAGGAUGAACAGUCACACUGGAACUGAGACACGGUCCAGACUCCUACGGGAGGCAGCAGGGGGGAAUAUUUGACAAUGGGCGAAAGCCUGAUCCAGCCAUGCCGCGUGUGUGAAGAAGGUCUUCGGAUUGUAAAGCACUUUAAGUUGGGAGGCGUUACCAACAGAAUAAGCACCGGCUAACUUCGUGCCAGCAGCCGCGGUAAUUC
rnacentral:rRNA from 1 species